rnacentral:misc_RNA from 1 species
AACGCACAUUGCGCUCAAGCCUUCGGGCUUGAGCAUGUCUGCCUCAGCGUCGUUUCAAAUGGCUUGCCGUCCGUGACCCUUGCCACUCCCCUCAGGGAGGGCAUGGGUUUAAGCCGUGACCUCCGGCGCGUCCGUCCAUCCGUGGGCGGCGUGCGGCAGCAGCCACUCCGGCACUGCUCAUCGUAAGCAUGCUGCAUACCGUGGCUCAACAAUGCUCUACCAUGGGCCCUGCUGGUUAGUUGAUGAUGUAUUUUAUGUGGGGCUUGUGCUUGCGCGCAAGCUCUUCUGCGUCAUCAGCUGGACCCCUGGCUGCGCACCACACCAUUCGACCUGAGUUUAGGCAGGGUUACCCGCUGAACUUAA